UACGUAGGGGGCGAGCGUUGUCCGGAUUUAUUGGGCGUAAAGAGCUCGUAGGCGGUUUGGUAAGUCAGGUGUGAAAUCUCCACGCUCAACGUGGAGGGGCCACCUGAUACUGCCAUGACUGGAGUCCGGUAGAGGAGUGUGGAAUUCCCGGUGUAGCGGUGAAAUGCGCAGAGAUCGGGAGGAACACCCGUAGCGAAGGCGGCACUCUGGGCCGGUACUGACGCUGAGGAGCGAAAGCGUGGGUAGCGAACAGG
rnacentral:rRNA from 1 species